AUGCCCACGGUCACCUCCAUAGUACCUGCAGCGUGCUUGACUUUCUCUAUGGUGCAGUUACUGUGGCUGUGGCUGUGUUCGUGC
ensembl:miRNA Mir1930 microRNA 1930